rnacentral:lncRNA from 1 species
AAUGAACAAUUAAUUGCUAUUAAUUCACAUGCUUAUAACUAUUUGUUCACAUGUGUGUACUAUUGAUUCACAUGCAUGUACUAUUAGGGGAGGUGGUGCAAGAUUGAUAAUACUUGCAUGACUAAAUUAAAAAUGGAGGUAUAGAUGAAGGUACUAUACUGUAAUUAUUUUUUUCACAUGUAUAGAACUAUUGAGUCACAUGAUUGUACUAUUGAUUCACAUGAUAUACUAUUAGGGGAGGUGGUGCAAGUUUGAUAAUACUUGCAGGACUAAAUUAAAAAUGAAGGAAAAGAUGAAGGUAUUAUACUGUAAUAUUUCGAGCCCCAAAACGUGUAAUUAUCGAAACUAUGUUUUCCUAUAAAUAGAAGCUCAUUCUUCUUUCAUUCUCACCAAUUCACUAAGACUCACGAGCAAUUAUUGAAAGAGAAGCUAUAGAGAAACUUUAGAGAGAAAGUAGAAGAGAAGUCUGCUACCUCACUAUUCCAGUAUCCAAUCUUCUUCUGAGGUAAAGGAUAUUAUUUUGUUCAGUAUUCAUAGGAAUAAUAUUUUCUUCCAUACUCUGUAGUAUGUGAGUAAUAUUAUUUCGUCUCGUAUUCCUGAUUAUACCAUUAUUUUUUUAAAGUAUUGCUUUUAUACUCCGUGAAAUUAGUAGAAUAUCCUUGAAAUUUGCGCUUCAUCUAGUAUCGUUUCACAAGGAUAUUUUCUACACAUUCUUGUUAAAUUUUAAGCUUUUCAUGCCGGAGUACUGUCCAUGAGUAAUAUUCAUUUUUACGGUACUGUUCACAAAGUACUAUUCACGGGGUACUAUUCACAAAGUACUAUUCACGGGAUACUAUUCACAAAGUACUAUUUACGGGGUACUAUUCCUGAAGUACUAUUCACGGGGUACUAUUCACUCGGGCGCUAUUCACCUGGGGAAUUAUUCAAGACAAAAAUUGAUUUCUUUGAUGUCCAAAUCAUUUUUGAUACAAUAUUAUUCUUGAAUUUUACUCCACAAAGCAGUAUUAUGUUGACAAUUUGGACAUUAUUGAAUUCUGGAUAAAUUAAGUUAUAAUCUUUAAAAAUUUAUCCUUUGUUUUCUUUUAAUUGAAUUCUUAUAUCAUUGUCAUCAUCCUCAUGCUUAUAUUGUGAUAAAAGUCAUCUGUGGCUUACGUGCAUAGAUGUACUAUUGAUUGGUAUGAUUAUGACCAGAGAUUAUUCGGUAUAAUCAUGACCAUUGAUGAUUACAUGAAUAUCCUUGGCCCGUAGUGUAGGGAUGAUUCGAUGAUGUGGUUUAUUUAUUAAGCUGAGUCUCAACGAUAAAAUUGAUGAUAAACUUUUUAAAUCAUAGAAGAUAGUAAAUAUCAUGCUCUACUUGACUCUUCUAAUGGAUUGCUUGUUCCGCUGCAGUUAAACUUGAUGUUUAUUAUAUUUUAUCAGUUUAACACUGUUGAAGGCUAACGAUAAUUUAUGCUGCAUUAUCUUAGUCAUAAUAUUUCUUACUGGGCUAGUUGAGCUCACCCUUUUGCUUUCAUUGUUCUCUUCAG